rnacentral:rRNA from 1 species
GGAUCGCCCUUCCUACGGGAGGCAGCAGUGGGGAAUAUUGGACAAUGGGCGCAAGCCUGAUCCAGCCAUGCCGCGUGUGUGAAGAAGGCCUUCGGGUUGUACAGCACUUUUGUUGGGGAAGAAAAGCACUGGGUUAAUACCCUGGUGUCAUGACGGUACCCAAAGAAUAAGCACCGGCUAACUUCGUGCCAGCAGCCGCGGUAAUAAGGGCGAUCCC